rnacentral:snRNA from 2 species
UAAUUCCGGUUCCCUUUCAAAUCGAAAAAAUCUUUCGCCUUUUACUAAAGAUUUCCGUGGAGGGGAGCACUCAAAGGAAUCUAGAAUGUAAUUUUUCAAUUGCCUGACCUUCGGGUCGGGCU